UGAAGUAAACGCAUGAAUUAUCCAUAAUUUUAAUUCCAAUUUGUGAUUAGCAAACACACAAUAAGAACCAAUUAGAUAAUGACAAGUGGCUAAUUGAGUACUGUUUUUCUCUAAAUAGGCUCUCUAAACGUUGUAUACAUGUUUAAAUGGAUCUAUUUUCUCUCUUUUUCUCAAGCUUCCCCCUCCCCUCUUAAGCCUGGCUUU
rnacentral:lncRNA from 1 species